UACUCCUGUUUUGUAUUAUUUAAACAUUUGACCAAGUGCUGGAUACAGUGGUUCAUGUCUGUAAUACCAGCACUUUGGGAGGCCAAGGUAGGAGUAUCCCACUUGAUCACAGGAGUUUAACACCAGCCUGGGCAAAAAGUGAGACCCUGUCUCUACAAAAGGAAUUUUUAAAAAUUGCCCAGUUAAUUGGAACCAGCCUGUAGUUCCAAGCCUUGAAAGACUUAGGUGCAUGGGUUACUUGAGCCUGGGAAGUUGAGUCUGUUGUGAGCUAGGAUCAUGUCACUGCACUUUAGCCUGGGUGACCCUGUCUCAGAAAAAUAAAAACAACCUUUGGCCAGGACAGGUGAAUAAUUAAGCUGCAGAGGGCUGUUUCGAGCCUGUUCCCCAAUCAGUGCAUUCAACUCAACCCCACAUUCUGUUGUGGCCAGGGGUGACAGAUGCUGAGCACCUUGGGGUUUCAUUUCUAACUCAACUCAGGAGAAACUGUGUAAGGCUGGCACCCUACCAGAAGGCAUCUCAUAAAAUGAGUUUAGUUUAGCCAAGAUGUCUCUCUCUGAUCUUUCUGCCAUUGGAAGUGUAAAGAGUAUUCCUGCCCCAUAAUAGUGACAGCUAAUAAAUGGCAUUCAUCAUUUCUGUCAUCUGAUCACUAUUGUGGUAUCUUGGGAGUGACCAUGAAGUCUGAGUUGUGCAACAGAACGCUCAAGAAUGUUCCCGAGUCAGCUGCACAAGUACAGAGGAGGUCUUUCUCCUCAUCCCAAUCUUGGGGUGCUGGAUUCAAAAUGGAUUGCAAGCAGCUGUGCCCUGUUUGGACAUUAGCGUAGGAACCUACUUCCAAGUGUUUCAAAACAGAAUUUGGAGCCAUUCUUGUAGCUCAGUGUGAUAUUUUUAAAUAACUAGAGAAAAGUUUUUUUACCUGACUUAAUAAAAACAACUGCUAUUAAAUGCAUAUAGUAUUGUCUAAAAAGUAUCUACAAAAUUGUAACUUCAGUGUUUUCUUGCAAAAGAAGUGGAAGUAAUACAGAGAACCUUUCAAAUGAAGAAUCACUGAGAAACAAAAUAGAAGUAGGGUAACAUGUACUUAUGUAUCUUUUUGAAAAUUAUACAAGAAUGAAUUUGCAUCAGGCUUUUCAAUUUAUGAACAUGAGUAGGAUUUCCCUCUAGGGAAAGUUUUCACAUCAAUGUUGAAGAAAUUCUUAAAACUGUAAACUUUUCUGUAUUUGGUAAUCUACCAGGGUUCCAAUCCAGCGUGCUUUCUUAUAUUUAUAGGGUCUGUCUCCAGUGUGUAUUAUCAUGGGUCUUGGAGAAAAUAUCAUGUAAAUGAAGGCAUUUCUACAUUCUAUACAUUCAUAGGUUUUAUUUCAGAAAUGAGUUCUUAUCUUCAUGUGGAACUGGAACAACUGAAGACCUUAACACAUGUUUCUAUUUAUAAGGAAUUUCCCAUUGAAUCCUUUCAUGUUUUCAGAGAAAUAAAAAAGGUGAAGGCUUUACCAUGUUUCUUAAGUUUAUGUCAUCUUUCUCCAUGUUAAAUGUGAAUAUGUCUUUGAAAAGGAACAUAGGGAAAAUCAAGUUUAUUAACAUUUUUUACAUUCAUGUUUCAUUUUGGGUACUGGUUUUUUUCUGAGUUUCAAAGGGAAUUGGGAAAGUUGCACUCUUUCUUGUAUUUCUUCACUAGAUUGGGUUCUGUCCAGUGUGCGUUAUUUCAUGAAUUCUAAUAAACUAGAGCACAUGAUAGCCUUACCACAUUUCUUACAUGAGAAUAAUGUUUUUGAAGACAGCCCAGUGAACUAACAUGGUCCUGUGUUUGUUCUGUUGUGUUUCUCCUUCCCCAGGAAAAAGUUGGAAAUGAACUUCUUGGAGCUAAUUAAUUAUGAUACUAACGUUUCUAAAAGCGUUAUACCAGAUACUACUUCCAUCUUCGUGACCUUGUAUAUACGUAUGGCCUGGGUUCACCUAUUUACCUUCUUGACACACAAAGAGCAUGGGAUCUGCAGGCUUUAUCAAGGAUGGAACAAUACGAAGUGUUCUAUACUGGCAUCACCAGGUCUUUGAGCGUUGAUGAUGUAACUACUCUUCAGCGCACCAAGGCCAUCCUCUCCUGAAGGAAGAAAUGAGGGGUCUUGUAACAUCUGAACCCCUCACCAAAAAAGACAGGAAAAUACCACCUCUCCUGCUAAAUAACUAGAGAAGUUUGUAUUUUCAAAAGAAGAAAUACCUCAAUUUAAGUUAACUCAAAGACAACUAAGAUUGCCCUUUAUAAUAAGGAAUGGGACCCUGUCAGGGCAACAACACAGUCUUCACCCUUCUGUUUCUUUUAAUGUAAACAGAGUUAUAGAAACCACUCCAAAGCGUAGGCUCCUUCUGCCCACUCACAGAUGCUUGCUUAGUGUGUCGGCUGAUAGCUGUGAAUGGUGUCAGGCUUUUUUUGUUUUGUUUUCAGAUGAGUCUCUGUUGCCAGGCUAGGGGGCUGUGGUGUGAUCUCAGCUCAAUGCAAUUUCCACCUCCUGGGUCCAAGCCAUUCUCCUGCCUUGGCCUCCCUCCUUAAUUAAAUGUUUUAAGUAGCUGGGAUUACAGGGGCACCCGGCUUGUGUAAGGCUUUUAAAACAAUGAUUUAAAUUUUUUAGAUUUUAAAAGAUAACUUUUUUGUUUUUUUAAAAACAUUUUUUUCCCCAAAUUGCAGUAUUCGUAUUCAGACAUGUCAAAAGAGUUCAUUAAUAGCACAAUCUUUUCUUCCUGAGGGUCCUCCCCUUCAGGUGUCCCAGCCUGCUUGCAGCAGCCAUAGACGGGGUCUUUAUACUGAGAGAAGCUACAGAGCUCUUGAAAGCUGGAAUGCAUAGGCAGACAUGAUCAGAGUUGAGAAUAGGGGGGUUGUGAUGUCCUCUUUGAGGGAAUAAUUGUUAUUGUCCUGAGGCUGUUUCUAGAUAUUGUCAAAUAAAUUCUGAUGUAGGUAAGACGUGACUUUAUUCUAAAGGAGUAUUACAAUGGGGAAAUCACCAGGCAUCAGAUCUGCAAGCAUCUCAUAAAAGGCAGAAAAGGGCUGUGUUUUUUAUGGAGGAGCAAGCAAGAUUAGAAGGAAGGUGGGAGGAAGAGUGGAGAAUGGCAAAAUCAGAUUCAAGCUCAGGGAAUGUUUCAGCCAGAAGUCAGCCUGUUCUUAGGAUGGGCAUAAACGGGGUUUGUAUGUUGGCUCAGACUGAAGGCAGAGCAGAGUCCAGGAGCUGGGGAAAGGAGAGAAACUUGAGCAAAGUUGUGAUGGAAUUCCUGGAACCCAGGAGGCAAAGGUUGCAGUGAACCAGGAUUGCACCAGUGCAGUCCAGGGUGACAGAGUGAAACUCUAUCUCAUGAGUAAAUGACUAAAUAUUUUAAAUAAAGUCUUGUUUUAACCAA